rnacentral:rRNA from 1 species
GUAAGGAAUAUUGGGCAAUGGACGCAAGUCUGACCCAGCCAUGCCGCGUGGAGGAUGAAGGUCCUCUGGAUUGUAAACUUCUUUUAUCUGGGAAGAAACCCAUGAUUUCUAUUGUGGUUGACGGUACCAGAUGAAUAAGCACCGGCUAACUCCGUGCCAGCAGCCGCGGUAAUACGGAGGGUGCAAGCGUUAUCCGGAUUCACUGGGUUUAAAGGGUGCGUAGGUGGGUAAGUAAGUCAGUGGUGAAAUCUCCGGGCUUAACCCGGAAACUGCCGUUGAUACUAUUUAUCUUGAAUAUCGCGUAGGUAAGCGGAAUAUGUCAUGUAGCGGUGAAAUGCUUAGAUAUGACAUAGAACACCAAUUGCGAAGGCAGCUUACUUCACGAUCAUUGACACUGAGGCACGAAAGCGUGGGGAGCAAACAGGAUUAGAAACCCGGGUAGUCC